GCCUUUGUGGAUCACGGUGAUCACCUCGACUAUCUCCCACUGGAACGUGUAGCCAUUUAAGCGAGGAGGUGGAGGUUCGAAUCCUCCCGAAGGCA